rnacentral:lncRNA from 1 species
GAAUAAUAAAACAGAUAUACCAGUCCUAUGUUUAUGGACUGAAAAUACUGCUGCAGCUGAGCUGUGUCCAUAGGUUAACCUUUAAAGCAAGAUUAACCUUGUCCAGCAGAACGAGCAACACCAUUUGUACAUAGAAGAGAAGCUGAUAAGUAUGUCUUCCUCUGGCUGAAAGGAUCUUUUUUUCAUUAUUCAGGUCAUAAGAUAAACAAAUGAAUCUGGAAGGGUCUGGAAGUAAAUCUGGACUCCAAGCUUGUCGUAAUAGUUGGCUACAAUUCAGGGCAGGACACUCUCUCUGAGUAUGUGCACAGUAUGCAGCACAAAGAGGACCCAAUACUGCUUGGCCACUAGGAAAAGGCAACCAAAUAGUUGUUUGUGGUCCUCGGGUCCCACUGUUUCUGAGAAAUGAUAAGGCUCUGACAAAUCAGGUGUGGUGGGGAGAACAGUUAUUUCAAAAAACAUCUCCUAAAUAGUGCAAGAUUAACUGGUUUCAUAAGAACUGAAACUCAAGCAGUAUUUUUGAUAUUUGCAAGUGUUUCAAAGCUCAUCUUCCUGACCUGAAACAUUACAGUGCCAGAGAUGGGGUGGGAAGGGAAGAGGGAGUGAAAUUCUAGAUAUAAUCUUUACUUCUUCCUAGAAGCAACAAAAUUACCAGAAGUUGAAGCAGAGUAAUUAAUGUUU